rnacentral:rRNA from 1 species
AAUACCGCAACGAUCUACGAUGAAAGCGGGGAUCGCAGACCUCGCCGAUUGGAGGGCCGAUAUAGAUUAGCUGUUGGUGGGUAAAAGCCCCCAAGGCGAGAUCUGUAGUGGUCUGAGGGACGACCACCACACUGGACUGAGACAGGUCCAGACCCUACGGGAGCAGCAGUGGGAAUUUUGACAAUGGGCCAAGCCUGACCAGCAAUGCGCGUGCAGAUGAAGGCCUCGGGUUGUAACUGCUUUGUACGGAACAAACGGCUCUUCUAAUAAGAGGGCUAAGACGGUACCUAAGAAUAACACCGGCUACUACGUGCCGCAGCCGCGUAAUACGUAGGUGCAAGCUUAAUCGGAUUACUGGGCUAAAGCGUGGCAGGCGGUAUAUAAGACGAUGUGAAACCCCGGGCUCAACCUUGGACCUGCAUUGUGACUGUAAGCUUAGAGACCGUAGAA